rnacentral:misc_RNA from 1 species
UUAUUUCUCACGGGCGUUACGGGUUUGCAAUCUUUUAACUAUGACGUGCUUUCAUCGUACAUUUAACCUGAUCCGCGAUAAGACGCUUUUACGCCGAACUUACAGUGCAGGUACGGCGGUGUGCCUAAUAAUAGGCGCGAAGUAUGGCUUACUGACGCCUAAGAUUUGUAUCGUAUACCGGAUCAACUAUGCAGAAUCUUCGAGGACGGGGAGACUAGGGCAUAUGACGAUCGGCUGUAGUUUCCACGUAAUAAGAGAAGACGAUUUCUGCGACAGCAGGUUCAUACAGUUCGCGAAAAACGAGGUGUGUAACCACUUUCAGAGGACCAGGAAUAGGGUCACAUGGUGUUUGCAGCGCCAUUUGUCAUCGUCUCAAUGAAGUAUACCAAAAAGUGGAAAUGAACCAGUUAACAAGCUACGCCAAUUCACUCUUACUAGAUGAUAAAAAAUUUUUGCAAAAAGGAGCAUUACUGAUUUGAAAAUGCGUCAAAAAUAUGAAAUAAUUUCUAUUUUACUUAUAUUGUAUUUAAACACAUAUGCAACAACGAUAAAUAUUUUUCAUUUACUUACUAAGCAAUGAAUAAGGAAUAAACCGCUACCGAUAUUAUAUUUUGAACAGUGAUAGAGAAGGAUAAUCAGUAUAUAUACUUUAAAUACGGGGUUGUAAUUGAACUUGGAAAAAAGAAUUUUUCAACAGGCCAAAUUUACAUCAUUCUCAGUCCCGUAAAAAGUUUGAACAACUUAAGCAUAUUUGGUUUCGCAUCAAGCAUAAUUUUGAAUAAACUGUAUAAAAACACUUGCAGAAAUACAAAACUUACGAGGACUUCUGUCGCAAAAAAACAGUUGAGGAUUACUUCCUACGACCAAUGUAUAGAGAAGCGACCGAAAUAUGCUUGAAAAGAGAAAUUAAUGAUAAAAACAAACGAGUCAAAUCAGCUUUGAGCGACAAGCCUAUAUGCAAAAACGGACGAAGUACGUUUUCAGAGAUAAUUUUGUAAAAGAACCGCCGCAAUUUUAUCGCUUCCAGUGAUGUCUCCAGUUUGUGGAGAAACGAUCAGACAUAAUAAAAUGAAAUCAGUGAAUAAUAAUAGGUCAUUUGCGAUAACAAUAGUUAAAAAUGGAGAAAUAUAAAAAAAUUUGUAAACGGGACCAAUCGGUGGAUUAACCCUACAAGAUGUAAAAGUUUCAUUCUAAUAGGUUAAUCCAGUAAAAAGCAAUAAAAAACAUGCAUAAAAAUUAGAUCUUUGCAGUAGACAGUAGUUGACAAUAAACAAAUGUAAAAAAUUCUUUAACGGAAUCA